rnacentral:lncRNA from 1 species
GUAGCUUUAUGCAAUUCUGGGAGUGAAUGUACUGGACCAGUUUGUUACAGCUCAACACAAGCCAAACAAAUUGAUGUAGCAUUAAAUGAAACAGCUAGAAUGUUUACUGGGGGCCUGAAGCCAACCAGGUACAUUAUUUAGCCAGUAGCCUCCUCUGGACCUGUGGUAUUAAGUAGUGGCUAACAAGGGAUGGAUAGAAGCAACCAUCUGUGAGAUUCACCCUCUAUUCAGCCAUCAACUCCUGCUGUCAAGACUGAAGUCAAGAAACAGCCUUCUGAGAACUUCAUCACCUUCUAACAGCCAGCCUCUGCCUGAAAGAUGGAAGAUGAGAAAGGAUCUUCUCGUCAAUUGGAUGGAGCUUUCUGAAUGUUUACCGCUGGGCUGUGAUCAUAAAGGCUGUGGAGGAGAGCAAACCUCUGUGUGUCAUGCUGGUGUCCUGUACGCCCCUCACCACGCACCACAGAAGAUCUGAGACAACCCAGGGCAAGGUCUUGUUGGCGUGGCUCAGUGCUGGAUGUUAUUUGGCCAUCUUCUCAAGCAACCAGCUUUGCCAGCGGUCUGAGGUGUUGCCAGUAUGCCAGCCACAUCUGGACGAACAAACCCAGUUCUGUUGUAAUGCUAGUAGCCCAUCAUUAGGUGUCACUGCGGACUUUCCAUCUUUACAUCUUGCAGGCAUAGAGUCACCGUUCAGCAACAUUUUUAAAGAGAUGGCCAAAGAUGGAAACCUUCUAAUCCUUUGUUGA